UACGUAGGGUGCGAGCGUUAAUCGGAAUUACUGGGCGUAUAGUGUGCGCAGGCGGCCGCGCAAGUCGAGUGUGAAAUCCCCGAGCUUAACUUGGGAAUUGCGCUCGAAACUACGUGGCUGGAGUGUGGCAGAGGAAGGUGGAAUUCCACGUGUAGCGGUGAAAUGCGUAGAUAUGUGGAGGAACACCGAUGGCGAAGGCAGCCUUCUGGGCCAACACUGACGCUCAUGCACGAAAGCGUGGGGAGCAAACAGG
rnacentral:rRNA from 1 species